UACGGGCAGGACAAGUGUUAUUCAGCAUGAUUGGGCGUAAAGGGCAUCUAGGUUGUUUAAUAGGUUCGUAACUAAAUAUUAUAGCUAAACUAUAAACAUGUUAUUGAAUACGAUUGAACUAGAGUAUAUAAGAAGAUAGCAGUAUUUUUAAAGGAAAGAUAAAAUUUUAAGAUAUUAAAGGGACUAUCAAUAGGCGAAAGCGGCUAUUCUAGUAUAUAACUGACACUGACGUGCAAAAGCAUGGGGAGCAAACAGG
rnacentral:rRNA from 1 species